rnacentral:rRNA from 1 species
GACGAACGCUGGCGGCGUGCUUAACACAUGCAAGUCGAACGGAAAGGCCCUGCUUUUGUGGGGUGCUCGAGUGGCGAACGGGUGAGUAACACGUGAGUAACCUGCCCUUGACUUUGGGAUAACUUCAGGAAACUGGGGCUAAUACCGGAUAGGAGCUCCUGCUGCAUGGUGGGGGUUGGAAAGUUUCGGCGGUUGGGGAUGGACUCGCGGCUUAUCAGCUUGUUGGUGGGGUAGUGGCUUACCAAGGCUUUGACGGGUAGCCGGCCUGAGAGGGUGACCGGCCACAUUGGGACUGAGAUACGGCCCAGACUCCUACGGGAGGCAGCAGUGGGGAAUAUUCACAAUGGGCGGAAGCCUGAUGCAGCAACGCCGCGUGCGGGAUGACGGCCUUCGGGUUGUAAACCGCUUUCGCCUGUGACGAAGCGUGAGUGACGGUAAUGGGUAAAGAAGCACCGGCUAACUACGUG